UGAAUACGAGAUGCUACGGCGUCGAAGCAGUGUAUGUCAGACUUCCAAGAAAAGCUCGCAAUGUCAUAAAUAAAGAAUGCCUGUACCAUAACCGACACAGGUGGGUAGGUAGAGUAUACUAAGGGGCGCGAGAUAACUCUCUCUAAGGAACUCGGCAAAAUAACUCCGUAACUUCGGGAGAAGGAGUGCCUUCUUUAAGAAGGUUGCAAUAACAAGAUCCAAGCAACUGUUUAUCAAAAACACAGGUCUCCGCUAAGUCGUAAGACGAUGUAUGGGGGCUGACGCCUGCCCAGUGCCAGAAGGUUAAAGAAGUUGGUUAGCUUUUGCGAAGCUGAUGACUGAAGCCCUGGUGAACGGCGGCCGUAACUAUAACGGUCCUAAGGUAGCGAAAUUCCUUGUCGGGUAAGUUCCGACCCGCACGAAAGGCGUAAUGAUUUGGAUACUGUCUCGGAGAGGGACUCGGUGAAAUAGACUUGUCUGUGAAGAUGCGGACUACCUGCACCAGGACAGAAAGACCCUAUGAAGCUUUACUGUAACUUGAAAUUGAAAUUGGACUUUAUUUGCGCAGUAUAGGUGGAAGGCGUUGAAAGUAAUCUUGCGGGAUUAGUGGAGCCAUCAGUGAGAUACCACUCCUAUAAUGUUAGAUUUCUAACUUUGGAUCAUGAUCUGGUCAUAGAACAGUUUCAGGCGGGCAGUUUGACUGGGGCGGUCGCCUCCCAAAUGGUAACGGAGGCGUACAAAGGUUUCCUCUGAACGGGUAGAAAUCGUAUCUAGAGUGUAAAGGCAUAAGGAAGCUUGACUGUGAGACCUACAAGUCGAGCAGGGACGAAAGUCGGUCUUAGUGAUCUGACGGUGCUGAGUGGAAAGGCCGUCACUCAACGGAUAAAAGUUACUCUAGGAUAACAGGCUGAUCUCCCCCAAGAGUUCACAUCGACGGGGAGGUUUGGCACCUCGAUGUCGGCUCAUCGCAUCCUGGGGCGGUAGUACGUCCCAAGGGUUGGGCUGUUCGCCCAUGAAAGCGGUACGCGAGCUGGGUUCAGAACGUCGUGAGACAGUUCGGUCCAUAUCCGGUGUAGGCGUUAGAAUAUUGAGAGGAGCCUUCUUUAGUACGAGAGGACCGAGAAGGACAUACCUCUGGUGUACCAGUUAUCGUGCCAACGGUAAACGCUGGGUAGCUAUGUAUGGAGAGGAUAACCGCUGAAAGCAUCUAAGUGGGAAGCCCACCUCAAGAUGAGUAUUCUCAU
rnacentral:rRNA from 1 species